rnacentral:lncRNA from 1 species
CUUCUGGACGGCCUGGAGGUCGUCCUCUCCCAGGCUGGGAGCCCGGCGGGCGGAAUCCCUCAGAGACCCCCAAGGGGGCAGGCCCAGUUCCAGGGUCGGACAGUAGACAAAGAGAAAUUUCUCCUUCCAAUUGUGAAUCGAAGAAGGGGCGCCCUUCAGCAACCCCUUCUUACCAAACUGGGGGGAGAAGUACCACCAGUCCUUCGUCGAAGGAU